UCCUAGCUGCAACGGCUUCCUGGCGCAGCUUACAUUUUAUUGGAGCA
rfam:Planktomarina temperata RCA23, complete genome.